rfam:Cellulomonas carbonis T26 contig230, whole genome shotgun sequence.
GGAAUCUACUCAGUAAGGAUAAUGGCAUACUGACAGGAAGGCUGGCUGCACGAAGGGCGACCGACGCGCAGAAGCCCAGCCCGACGAAGGAAUGAGCCAAACUAAAGUGAAGUCCCGUAUGUACGCCUCGAUACUUCCAAUCGAAAGAUAACCCGAUGGCCAAGCGAAUCAUAAUAGCCGAAGCCCACGCGGACGCGCCGAAACCAUUACGCGGUGCGCCUGACGGGUCGGGGUAUAGGGACA